rnacentral:rRNA from 1 species
UACGGGAGGCAGCAGUGGGGAAUAUUGCACAAUGGGGGAAACCCUGAUGCAGCCAUGCCGCGUGUGUGAAGAAGGCCUUCGGGUUGUAAAGCACUUUCAGUCGUGAGGAAGGUAGUGUAGUUAAUAGCUGCAUUAUUUGACGUUAGCGACAGAAGAAGCACCGGCUAACUCCGUGCCAGCAGCCGCGGUAAUACGGAGGGUGCGAGCGUUAAUCGGAAUUACUGGGCGUAAAGCGCAUGCAGGUGGUUUGUUAAGUCAGAUGUGAAAGCCCGGGGCUCAACCUCGGAAUAGCAUUUGAAACUGGCAGACUAGAGUACUGUAGAGGGGGUAGAAUUUCAGGUGUAGCGGUGAAAAUGCGUAGAGAUCUGAAGGAAUACCGGUGGCGAAGGCGGCCCCCUGGACAGAUACUGACACUCAGAUGCGAAAGCGUGGGGAGCAAACAGGAUUAGAUACCCUGGUAG